rnacentral:rRNA from 1 species
AGUGAACGCUGGCGGUAGGCCUAACACAUGCAAGUCGAACGGCAGCACAGUAAGAGCUUGCUCUUACGGGUGGCGAGUGGCGGACGGGUGAGGAAUACAUCGGAAUCUACUUUUUCGUGGGGGAUAACGUAGGGAAACUUACGCUAAUACCGCAUACGACCUACGGGUGAAAGCAGGGGAUCUUCGGACCUUGCGCGAUUGGAUGAGCCGAUGUCGGAUUAGCUAGUUGGCGGGGUAAAGGCCCACCAAGGCGACGAUCCGUAGCUGGUCUGAGAGGAUGAUCAGCCACACUGGAACUGAGACACGGUCCAGACUCCUACGGGAGGCAGCAGUGGGGAAUAUUGGACAAUGGGCGCAAGCCUGAUCCAGCCAUACCGCGUGGGUGAAGAAGGCCUUCGGGCUGUAAAGCCCUUUUGUUGGGAAAGAAAAGCAGCAGGUUAAUACCCCGCUGUUCUGACGGUACCCAAAGGAUAAGCACCGGCUAACUUCGUG